rnacentral:ncRNA from 1 species
UAGCGGAGUAGAAGCUGGCAGGCGUUACGCUGGGUCAUUGCUCCUUAA